rnacentral:rRNA from 1 species
CUUGCUCCUUGGGUGGCGAGUGGCGGACGGGUGAGGAAUACAUCGGAAUCUACUCUGUCGUGGGGGAUAACGUAGGGAAACUUACGCUAAUACCGCAUACGACCUACGGGUGAAAGCAGGGGAUCUUCGGACCUUGCGCGAUUGAAUGAGCCGAUGUCGGAUUAGCUAGUUGGCGGGGUAAAGGCCCACCAAGGCGACGAUCCGUAGCUGGUCUGAGAGGAUGAUCAGCCACACUGGAACUGAGACACGGUCCAGACUCCUACGGGAGGCAGCAGUGGGGAAUAUUGGACAAUGGGCGCAAGCCUGAUCCAGCCAUACCGCGUGGGUGAAGAAGGCCUUCGGGUUGUAAAGCCCUUUUGUUGGGAAAGAAAUCCAGCUGGCUAAUACCCGGUUGGGAUGACGGUACCCAAAGAAUAAGCACCGGCUAACUUCGUGCCAGCAGCCGCGGUAAU